UUUUUUAUUUUAAAAAAAAAAAAAGAGCCAUGAUGUGCCCUUGCUUGCUUCUGAAUGACAAAAGCGAGAUCAUUUGCUGUAGGAACUAACUAACCCAUAUAUAGACUUAUCAUUGUUCAAUGGACGGAUAAUGAAUUAUGUUUCUACUUUUCUCCAAUUGGAUAUCCUGCUCUAGUUUCCUUCCAAUUGGGUAUUUCGCUGAGAGUUUAUUUAAUUUAUUCCCUGCUUGAUGGUAGCACUUAAGGUCUUUUGUAUUUGAUACAGUAGUCAGCCGUUUGAUUUUAGGUUGUAGUAAAUGUUGUUGCCUAUUUUGCAAGGAACUAUGCAUCUUUUUUGGCUUUUGGGCUUUCUUCUAUGUUGGACCUUUUUUGGUAGCAUUAUCAUCUGGGUGGUUG
rnacentral:misc_RNA from 1 species